UUAAAAAGCUCGUAUUGAACCUUGGGCCUGGCUGGCCGGUCCGCCUCAUCGCGUGUACUGGUUCGGCCGGGCCUUUCCUUCUGGCAAACCUCAUGCCCUUAAUUGGGUGUGUGGGGAACCAGGACUUUUACUUUGAAAAAAUUAGAGUGUUCAAAGCAGGCAUUUGCUCGAAUACAUUAGCAUGGAAUAAUAGAAUAGGACGUGUGGUUCUAUUUUGUUGGUUUCUAGAAUCGCCGUAAUGAUUAAUAGGGAUAGUCGGGGGCAUCAGUAUUCAAUCGUCAGAGGUGAAAUUCUUGGAUUGAUUGAAGACUAACUACUGCGAAAGCAUUCGCCAAGGAUGUUUUCAUUAAUCAGGAACGAAAGUUAGGGGAUCGAAGACGAUCAGAUACCGUCGUAGUCUUAACCAUAAACUAUGCCGACUAAGGAUCGGGCGUGCUUCAAAUUUGACUCGCUCGGCACCUUACGAGAAAUCAAAGUCUUUGGGUUCUGGGGGGAGUA
rnacentral:rRNA from 1 species